CUGGUUGAUCCUGGCAGUAGUCAUAUGCUUGUCUCAGACAAUAGGUCAUGCAUUUCUGAGUACAUGUCUUAAAACGGCACAACCGCGAAUGGUUUAUUAUAUCAGCUAUGAAUCCUUAGAUCAUAUAUACCACAUGGAUAACUGUAUUCAUUCUACAGACCCACAAAGGAAUGGGUGCAUUUAUUAGAAUGUAACCAACUGAGUGCAGUUACAACUAUCUCUGUAAUGAGUCUGGAUAAUUUGAAUGAUUGUAGUCGACCUUGUAUCAGCAACGGAUCUUUCAAAUGUCUGCACUAUCAAUUUGUUGGUAGGUGAUCUCCAUACUAUGACAACGACUGGUAACGCGGAAUCAGAGUUUGAUUCCUGGGACGGAUCCUGAGAUAUUGAUACCACGCGGUAGCAGGUACGAAAAUGAUCCACUCUAAAAAAGCGUGGCUCAGUUGAGGCUCCGUACCUUGAAUAAGUACAUACA
rnacentral:ncRNA from 1 species